rnacentral:snRNA from 1 species
AGCUUUGCACAGUGGCAGUAUCAUAGCCAAUGAGGUUUAUCUGAGGCGCAAUUAUUGCUAAUUGAAAACUUUUCCCUUUCCCCUGCCAUGACAACUUGCAAUGUAGUCGGCAUUGGCAAUUUUUGACAGUCUCUAUGGAGA